AUGAAACACCUGGGUGUGCUUCUGCUUCUGAUAAAGAAAGUGCAGUGUCUGACGCUGCGUGUGAAGCUAAACGUUUCUGUUGACCCUGUAUGAACUGGCCUCUGUGUCAGUUCCAUUUCAUCUCCUCCGUGUGCUGUGGGAACUUUUCUGUUCACAGUGGCUCCUUUUGUUCACACACUUCAUGAGAACUGCUUUUGAGAUAGUGUACCUUCCACCUUCCACUCCUGCAGCAAAGUGCCAGUAUGAGUUAGUGUCUAGCUAUGGAUACAUGGCAGCUACAUUAGCUCUGCAGGGUACACAUCAGAGACUGUCGAAAAGGAAGCCACACUCAGAAAAGCCACUGACACAAAACUAACAGCACACUGUGAUUCUGAAGGCACACCCAGUCCAGUCUCUGGAAUCUUCUUCAAAAGUGAGAUUACAUAAAGGUGUAUAAAGGGUAAACACAUGGAUUUGCAGUGCAGACACAGGAGAAUGUGAGCUGUUUGUGCGUGUCUUUAAGGGUGAGUGGGGCUGAAAUGAUAAACCGCUUGUGGGCCGGUCUACAGCAGCCUUUUAUUAAAGGUCUCUUUGUUUACUGUUUGUUCCAGGUCAUUUUGUCUGACUAUACUUGAAAGGCUGGGGAGAAAAACAAGCUGCCAAAAGCUCCUGAAUAAAACUAGCUAAACUGAGGCUGAAUAUUCAGUUUAAGGGUCAAAGCAAACCGCUGAAAAAAAAAAGGCAAAAACAAAACACUGUUUAUCUGCACUCUUUAAUACAA